AUUCCAGCUCCAAUAGCGUAUAUUAAAGUUGUUGCAGUUAAAAAGCUCGUAGUUGGAUUUCUGACAGGGGGCCGAACACCACUGUGGUGAGUGUUUUGGUACCUGUCAUCCUUCUGUUAACCCUAGCGUCAUUCAUUUGUCGUUUGGCGGACCAGAUACUUUACCUUGAGAAAAUUAGAGUGUUUCAGGCAGGCCUAGCCGGAAUACAUUAGCAUGGAAUAAUGGAAUAGGACUAUAGUCUCGUCGUUGGUUACGUGGACUGCAGUAAUGAUUAAUAGGGAUAGUUGGGGGCAUUAGUAUUUAUUAGCUAGAGGUGGGAUUCUCUAAUUUGAUAAAGACUAACUUAUGCGAAAGCAUUUGCCAAGGAUGUUUUCAUUG
rnacentral:rRNA from 1 species